rnacentral:rRNA from 1 species
AUUGAACGCUGGCGGCAUGCCUUACACAUGCAAGUCGAACGGUAACAGGUCUUCGGAUGCUGACGAGUGGCGAACGGGUGAGUAAUACAUCGGAACGUGCCCGAUCGUGGGGGAUAACGAAGCGAAGGCUUUGCUAAUACCGCAUAAGAUCUACGGAUGAAAGCAGGGGACCGCAAGGCCUUGCGCGAACGGAGCGGCCGAUGGCAGGUUAGGUAGUUGGUGGGAUAAAAGCUUACCAAGCCGACGAUCUGUAGCUGGUCUGAGAGGACGACCGGCCACACUGGGACUGAGACACUGCCCAGACUCCUACGGGAGGCAGCAAUGGGGAAUUUUGGACAAUGGGCGCAAGCCUGAUCCAGCCAUGCCGCGUGCAGGAUGAAGGCCUUCGGGUUGUAAACUGCUUUUGUACGGAACGAAAAGACUCUGGUUAAUACCUGGGGUCCAUGACGGUACCGUAAGAAUAAGCACCGGCUAACUACGUGCCAGCAGCCGCCGUAACAC